rnacentral:rRNA from 1 species
GACGAACGCUGGCGGCGUGCCUAAUACAUGCAAGUCGAACGCUGAAGGAGGAGCUUGCUUCUCUGGAUGAGUUGCGAACGGGUGAGUAACGCGUAGGUAACCUGCCUGGUAGCGGGGGAUAACUAUUGGAAACGAUAGCUAAUACCGCAUAAGAGUAGAUGUUGCAUGACAUUUGCUUAAAAGGUGCAAUUGCAUCACUACCAGAUGGACCUGCGUUGUAUUAGCUAGGUGGUGGGGUAACGGCUCACCAAGGCGACGAUACAUAGCCGACCUCAGAGGGGGGUCGGCCACCCUGGGACCGGGACACGGCCCAGACUCCUACGGGAGGCAGCAGGAGGGAAUCUUUGGCAAUGGACCGAAGUCUGACCGGGGCACGCCGCGGUGGUUGAGAAGGGUUUCGGAUCGGAAAGCUCUGUUGUUAGAGAAGAACGAGUGUGGGAGUGGAAAGUUCACACUGUGACGGUAUCUUACCAGAAAGGGACGGCUAACUACGUG